rnacentral:rRNA from 1 species
UGCAAGUCGAGCGGAUGAAGGGAGCUUGCUCCCUGAUUCAGCGGCGGACGGGUGAGUAAUGCCUAGGAAUCUGCCUGGUAGUGGGGGACAACGUCUCGAAAGGGACGCUAAUACCGCAUACGUCCUACGGGAGAAAGCAGGGGACCUUCGGGCCUUGCGCUAUCAGAUGAGCCUAGGUCGGAUUAGCUAGUUGGUGAGGUAAUGGCUCACCAAGGCGACGAUCCGUAACUGGUCUGAGAGGAUGAUCAGUCACACUGGAACUGAGACACGGUCCAGACUCCUACGGGAGGCAGCAGUGGGGAAUAUUGGACAAUGGGCGAAAGCCUGAUCCAGCCAUGCCGCGUGUGUGAAGAAGGUCUUCGGAUUGUAAAGCACUUUAAGUUGGGAGGAAGGGCAUUAACCUAAUACGUUGGUGUUUUGACGUUACCGACAGAAUAAGCACCGGCUAACUCUGUGCCAGCAGCCGCGGUAAUACAGAGGGUGCAAGCGUUAAUCGGAAUUACUGGGCGUAAAGCGCGCGUAGGUG